rnacentral:rRNA from 1 species
UACGUAGGUGGCAAGCGUUGUCCGGAUUUACUGGGCGUAAAGAGCGCGCAGGCGGUCGUUCAAGUCGCGUGUGAAAGCCCCCGGCUCAACUGGGGAGGGUCACGCGAUACUGAUCGACUCGAAGGCAGGAGAGGGAAGCAGAAUUCCCGGUGUAGUGGUGAAAUGCGUAGGUAUCGGGAGGAAUACCAGUGGCGAAGGCGGCUUCCUGGCCUGUUCUUGACGCUGAGGCGCGAAAGCUAGGGUAGCAAACGGG